CAUUAUUGUUGGGGGAUUGUUGUAGCCACUGAACUGUUAUGUAAAUCACUUUGUUUUGAAUGAAUAUAUGCCUCUUUCAUUGAUUGUUAGUGUUUAACUCCUUCUCUUAAUGCUUGUUGUGAAGUAGCUACCCAUGACUUGAUUUUAGGGUUUGCUUAAUAUUGGGAAAUGUUGAGUAAAUCCGGACUUGGGUUAAACACCUAAAGGAAAUAGUGUCUAGGGAUAGAACUAGGACCUUUGGCUGUCUUAAAAUCUCAUUUCUUAAUGCGGGUGAACUUGUUAGGUUGCCAAGGGAUUGGGAUUUAAUAAGUGAAUCUAGGCUCUUUCUACCAAGGGAUUGGGGUUUGAGUAAAUUAGUAGAUUGACAUUGACAUAUUAAUGAAGAUGAAGUGAUUUUAUUUGCAUAAGAGUGAAGUCGGUGAAAGCAUACCCCCAACAAUACCAUUCCAUCUCAU
rnacentral:lncRNA from 1 species